rnacentral:rRNA from 1 species
AAGACCUUGCGCUUUUGGAGCGGCCGAUGCCUGAUUAGCUUGUUGGUAAGGUAAAAGCUUACCAAGGCUUCGAUCAGUAGCUGGUCUGAGAGGACGGCCAGCCACACUGGGACUGAGACACGGCCCAGACUCCUACGGGAGGCAGCAGUGGGGAAUUUUGGACAAUGGGGGCAACCCUGAUCCAGCCAUGCCGCGUGAGUGAAGAAGGCCUUCGGGUUGUAAAGCUCUUUCAGCCGGAACGAAACGGUUACGGUUAAUACCCGUGACUAAUGACGGUACCGGAAGAAGAAGCACCGGCUAACUACGUGCCAGCAGCCGCGGUAAUACGUAGGGUGCGAGCGUUAAUCGGAAUUACUGGGCGUAAAGCGUGCGCAGGUGGUUUUGUAAGUCAGAUGUGAAGUCCCCGGGCUCAACCUGGGAACU